rnacentral:rRNA from 1 species
UUGAAUUGAAGAGUUUGAUCAUGGCUCAGAUUGAACGCUGGCGGCAGGCUUAACACAUGCAAGUCGAACGGUAACAUAAAGAAGCUUGCUUCUUUGAUGACGAGUGGCGGACGGGUGAGUAAUGCUUGGGAAUCUAGCUUAUGGAGGGGGAUAACUACGGGAAACUGUAGCUAAUACCGCGUAGAAUCGAGAGAUGAAAGUGUGGGACCUUCGGGCCACAUGCCAUAGGAUGAGCCCAAG